rnacentral:rRNA from 1 species
UACAGAGGGGGCGAGCGUUGUUCGGAAUUACUGGGCGUAAAGGGCGCGUAGGCGGCCAACUAAGUCAGACGUGAAAUCCCUCGGCUCAACCGGGGAACUGCGUCUGAUACUGGAUGGCUUGAAUUCGGGAGAGGGAUGCGGAAUUCCAGGUGUAGCGGUGAAAUGCGUAGAUAUCUGGAGGAACACCGGUGGCGAAGGCGGCAUCCUGGACCGAGAUUGACGCUGAGGCGCGAAAGCCAGGGGAGCAAACGGG